GUCGAGAAUCUUUCACAAUGGGGGCAACCCUGAUGGAGCGACGCCGCGUGGAGGAUAAGGUCUUCGGAUUGUAAACUCCUGUCAUGCGUGAACAAGGUUGCUUGGUUAAUACCUGGGCAAAUUGAUGGUAACGCAAGAGGAAGCGACGGCUAACUCUGUGCCAGCAGCCGCGGUAAUACAGAGGUCUCAAGCGUUGUUCGGAAUCACUGGGCGUAAAGGGUGCGUAGGUGGCGUGGUAAGUCAGAUGUGAAAGCCCGGGGCUCAACCUCGGAACUGCAUCCGAUACUGCCAUGCUAGAGUACUGGAGAGGUGACUAGAAUUCUCGGUGUAGCAGUGAAAUGCGUAGAUAUCGAGAGGAAUACCAAAGGCGUAGGCAGGUCACUGGACAGUUACUGACACUGAGGCACGAAGGCCAGGGGAGCGAACGGGAUUAGAAACCCGAGUAGUCC
rnacentral:rRNA from 1 species